ACGCUGGCGGCAGGCCUAACACAUGCAAGUCGAGCGGUAGAGAGAAGCUUGCUUCUCUUGAGAGCGGCGGACGGGUGAGUAAUGCCUAGGAAUCUGCCUGGUAGUGGGGGAUAACGUCCGGAAACGGACGCUAAUACCGCAUACGUCCUACGGGAGAAAGCAGGGGACCUUCGGGCCCUUGCGCUAUCAGAUGAGCCUAGGUCGGAUUAGCUAGUUGGUGGGGUAAUGGCUCACCAAGGCGACGAUCCGUAACUGGUCUGAGAGGAUGAUCAGUCACACUGGAACUGAGACACGGUCCAGACUCCUACGGGAGGCAGCAGUGGGGAAUAUUGGACAAUGGGCGAAAGCCUGAUCCAGCCAUGCCGCGUGUGUGAAGAAGGUCUUCGGAUUGUAAAGCACUUUAAGUUGGGAGGAAGGGUUGUAGAUUAAUACUCUGCAAUUUUGACGUUACCGACAGAAUAAGCACCGGCUAACUCUGUGCCAGCAGCCGCGGUAAUACAGAGGGUGCAAGCGUUAAUCGGAAUUACUGGGCGUAAAGCGCGCGUAGGUGGUUUGUUAAGUUGGAUGUGAAAUCCCCGGGCUCAACCUGGGAACUGCAUUCAAAACUGACUGACUAGAGUAUGGUAGAGGGUGGUGGAAUUUCCUGUGUAGCGGUGAAAUGCGUAGAUAUAGGAAGGAACACCAGUGGCGAAGGCGACCACCUGGACUAAUACUGACACUGAGGUGCGAAAGCGUGGGGAGCAAAC
rnacentral:rRNA from 1 species